UACGUAGGCAGCGAGCGUUGUUCGGAAUUACUGGGCGUAAAGAGUGUGUAGGCGGUGCUCUAAGUUCGGUGUGAAAUCUCCUGGCUCAACUGGGAGGGUGCGCCGGAAACUGGAGUGCUUGAGCGUGGGAGAGGAAAGCGGAAUUCCUGGUGUAGCGGUGAAAUGCGUAGAUAUCAGGAGGAACACCUGUGGUGUAGACGGCUUUCUGGACCAUAGCUGACGCUGAGACACGAAAAGCGUGGGUAGCAAACAGG
rnacentral:rRNA from 1 species